AGCUUUGUGCAGUGGCAGUAUCGUAGCCAAUGAGGAUUAUCUGAGGCGUGAUUAUUGCUAAUUAAAAAUAAAGAUGAUCAACAACACUGAUACACCUUUUUUUUUUUUUUUGGUACGGGGAUCCAACUC
ensembl:snRNA U4 U4 spliceosomal RNA